AUGGCCUUGAAUCAAGGCCAGCAGUUUUCUAAAGCUGUUGCUUUCAAGCUGGAGCCUAAAGUGCUGUCUUUCUAUGAUCUGUGGGCCACUUCAGAGCUUCAGCAAUGUAAUGUUCAAUUCAUUAGAAAAAAAACAAC
ensembl:snoRNA small nucleolar RNA SNORA2/SNORA34 family